rfam:Haemonchus placei strain MHpl1 genome assembly, scaffold: HPLM_scaffold0001665
GUCGACGUGGCACAGUGGUAGUGGUCUCGCUUCAUAGGCGAAAAUUGCGGGUUCCCAUCCCGCCACCGUCG